rnacentral:rRNA from 1 species
AGCGAACGCUGGCGGCGUGCUUAACACAUGCAAGUCGAACGGGUGUAGCAAUACAUCCGUGGCGAACGGGUGCGUAACACGUGGAUAACCUUCCUUCAGGUGGGGAAUAACCCAGUGAAAAUUGGGCUAAUACCGCAUAACAAGACGAGGGCUCAUGCUUUUGUCUUCAAAGGCGCAAGUCGCCAGAAGAGGGGAUCCGC